UACAGAGGUCUCAAGCGUUGUUCGGAAUCACUGGGCGUAAAGGGUGCGUAGGUGGCGUGGUAAGUCAGAUGUGAAAGCCCGGGGCUCAACCUCGGAAUUGCAUCCGAUACUGCCGUGCUAGAGUACUGAAGAGGUGACUAGAAUUCUCGGUGUAGCAGUGAAAUGCGUAGAUAUCGAGAGGAAUACCAACGGCGAAGGCAGGUCACUGGGCAGUUACUGACACUGAGGCACGAAGGCCAGGGGAGCAAACAGG
rnacentral:rRNA from 1 species